ensembl:lncRNA
GUGAUGGAGAAAGGCUGAGACUUGUUAAAGAGGGGGAAAAAAAUGAAAAGCUUGAGGCAAAAGGCAGAGUUAAAGCUUAAUUAAGAAAGUAGGCAUUUCAGGUUCACACACAUAAGCAAACAGAAUCCCCUGGCCCCUCCUGAUCAUCACCGAGUAAUUGCUUUAAAGCGGUGGUUUGUCCUGCUUGAACGGCCCUUAAACACAAGUUGAUGAAAGUCAUGGACAUAUGACAACACACCAGGGCAUGGCGGGGAUGGAAUCAAAUGGAUCCUGCAUCUCCUCUCGUCCUGGAGCUGUGUGACCUACUUUGAUGUUUAACACAAACUCACUUUGAGUCCAGUCCUCUGGGGUCUGCAUCUCACUUCCAUCACUUAUGACCUGUGUGACCUUGGGCACAGCGGGUUAGCACUUGGAACUUUGCUUUUCUCACCUUGAGAUUGGAGUUUUUAAUGCCAGCCCCCUACUUCUGUGAGAAUUAGGCAGAGCGAGUCCAAAGCAUCAGUUCCUGGGGAAGUUAAUCUUCUUUCUCCCCAGGAGAGCUGCUGCUGUCUCCUGCAGGGCACUGCCCCAGCCAGUCAGCAUCAGCAACUCCACAAGGUACCCUCACGGAAAGGAUGCAGGCAGCAGAUUCAGCGGCGAUGUGCGCUGAUGCUUGCUGGUACUUGCUGUCCCGCUGUGUGAAACAGCGCUCCUACUCCCCAGAUUCCUCAAUGGGUUAAUACUCCCUCCUUCCUCUCCAGGCCAGAGUCUGGGAGCCCCUUCCUCGUGGGUGCUGCCUCAGAGCCCCAGCUUCAGGGCUGAAUCUCUUGCUACCAUCAGACCCUUCAGGAAGCAUCACAGUUACCUUCCUCUCCAUCUUCCGAGGCACUCCCUCUGCUCCCAGGACCAGAAGCUCUGGGAGAGUAGAGACCACACGAGUUUCCUUCUGACUUUCCCAGACAUUGCCUGGCACUUUGCAGCAACCCCAUGACUGUUAUCUAAGUCAACUUUUUGACUCAUUCCAACCCCACAGCUACACAGCCACUAGCUGUGUCAUCUUUGGGAAUACAUGUCUUUCUAGUUUCACCUGUGAAAUGAGCUCAAGAGUAACUACUACUCACCAGAAAACACCAUCAAUGACUGGACACCUGUUUUCUUAUAUACCACUAAGAAAACAAACAAACAAACAAAAAAGAAUACUUCCGCAAACCUUUGACU